AUUGAACGCUGGCGGCAGGCCUAACACAUGCAAGUCGAGCGGAGCGGCGGACGGGUGAGUAAUGCCUAGGAAUCUGCCUGGUAGUGGGGGAUAACGUCCGGAAACGGGCGCUACUACCGCAUACUAUCAGAUGAGCCUAGGUCGGAUUAGCUCGUUGGUGGGGUAAAGGCCUACCAAGGCGACGAUCCGUAACUGGUCUGAGAGGAUGAUCAGUCAAACUGGAACGUAGACACGGUCCAGACUCCUACGGGAGGCAGCAGUGGGGAAUAUUGCACAAUGGGCGCAAGCCGGAUGCAGCCAUGCCGCGUGUAUGAAGAAGGCAUUCGGGUUGUAAAGGACUUUCAGCGGGGAGGCGUUACCCGCAGAAGAAGCACAGGCUAACGCCGUGCCAGCAGCCGCGGUAAUAC
rnacentral:rRNA from 1 species